rnacentral:tRNA from 1 species
CCCUGUAGCUCAGUUGGUAGAGCAUGGUAUUUGCAACGCCAGGGUUGUGGGUUCAGUUCCCACAGGGG